UACAGAGGUCUCAAGCGUUGUUCGGAUUCAUUGGGCGUAAAGGGUGCGUAGGUGGCGUGGUAAGUCGGGCGUGAAAUUUCGGAGCUUAACUCCGAAACUGCAUUCGAUACUGCUGUGCUUGAGGACUGGAGAGGAGACUGGAAUUUACGGUGUAGCAGUGAAAUGCGUAGAGAUCGUAAGGAAGACCAGUGGCGAAGGCGGGUCUCUGGACAGUUCCUGACACUGAGGCACGAAGGCCAGGGGAGCAAACGGG
rnacentral:rRNA from 1 species